UACGGAGGGAGCUAGCGUUGUUCGGAAUUACUGGGCGUAAAGCGUACGUAGGCGGUUAUUCAAGUCAGAGGUGAAAGCCCGGGGCUCAACCCCGGAACUGCCUUUGAAACUAGAUAGCUAGAAUCUUGGAGAGGUCAGUGGAAUUCCGAGUGUAGAGGUGAAAUUCGUAGAUAUCGGGAGGAACACCAGUGGCGAAGGCGACUACCUGGCCUGUUUCUUGACGCUGAGGCGCGAAAGCUAGGGGAGCAAACGGG
rnacentral:rRNA from 1 species